GUGGAGGCAGCCAUGCACACUCUGUCCAUGCAUCAACCGGAUGAUAAUUGGUACAUGGACACCGGAGCGACUUCCCACAUGACUGCCAACUCAGGAUUUACCGACGGGGAGCCGCCUAAUGAGAUGUGAGAGCACCGGGGAAUUGUAUCCUAUCAAUGC